rnacentral:rRNA from 1 species
GCAGUGGGGAAUAUUGCACAAUGGGCGCAAGCCUGAUUCAGCCAUGCCGCGUGUAUGAAGAAGGCCUUCGGGUUGUAAAGUACUUUCAGCGGGGAGGAAGGCGAUGUGGUUAAUAACCGCGUCGAUUGACGUUACCCGCAGAAGAAGCACCGGCUAACUCCGUGCCCGCAGCCGCGGUAAUACGGAGGGUGCCAGCGUUAAUUGGAAUUUCUUGGGGUAAAACGCACGCCGGCGGUUUGUCAAGUCGGAUGUGAAAUCCCCGGGCUCAACCUGGGAAAUGCAUCUGAAAAUGGCAGGCUUGAGUUUUGUAGAGGGGGGUAGAAUUCCAGGUGUAGCGGUGAAAUGCGUAGAGAUUUGGAGGAAUACCGGUGGCGAAGGCCCCCCCGACGAAGACUGACGCUCAGGUGCGAAAGCGUGGGGAGCAAACAGGAUUAGAUACCCUGGUAGUCCCCGCCGUAAACGAUGUCGACUUGGAGGUUGUGCCCUUGAGGCGUGGCUUCCGGAGCUAACGCGUUAAGUCGACCGCCUGGGGAGUACGGCCGCAA